CUUUCGAUAGGCGUCGACCGGCGCACGGGUGAGUAACGCGUAUCCAACCUGCCCAUAACUAAGGGAUAAUCCGUAGAAAUGCGGUCUAAUACCUUAUGUGAUCCGAGGAAGACAUCUGAUUUGGAUUAAAGAUUUAUCGGUUAUGGAUGGGGAUGCGUCUGAUUAGAUUGUUGGCGGGGCAACGGCCCACCAAGUCUGCGAUCAGUAGAGGUUCUGAGAGGAAGGUCCCCCACAUUGGAACUGAGACACGGUCCAAACUCCUACGGGAGGCAGCAGUGAGGAAUAUUGGUCAAUGGGCGGAAGCCUGAACCAGCCAAGUAGCGUGCAGGAUGACGGCCCUAUGGGUUGUAAACUGCUUUUGCAGGGGGAUAAAGUGAGUCACGUGUGACUUAUUGCAGGUACCCUGCGAAUAAGGACCGGCUAAUUCCGUGCCAGCAGCCGCGGUAAUACGGAAGGUCCGGGCGUUAUCCGGAUUUAUUGGGUUUAAAGGGAGCGUAGGCCGUGGAUUAAGUGUGUUGUGAAAUGUAGGCGCUCAACGUCUGACUUGCAGCGCAUACUGGUCCACUUGAGUGCGCGCAACGCGGGCGGAAUUUGUCGUGCAGCGGUGAAAUGCUUAGAUAUGACGAAGGACCCCGAUUGCGAAGGCAGCUCGCGGGAGCGCAACUGACGCUGAAGCUCGAAAGUGCGGGUAUCGAACAGGAUUAGAUACCCUGGUAGUCCGCACGGUAAACGAUGGAUGCCCGCUUUUCGGUCAUUAGACCGUGAGGCCAAGUGAAAACAUUAAGCAUCCCACCUGGGGA
rnacentral:rRNA from 1 species